GCAGUCGACGGUAACAGGAAGCAGCUUGCUGCUUUGCUGACGAGUGGCGGACGGGUGAGUAAUGUCUGGGAAACUGCCUGAUGGAGGGGGAUAACUACUGGAAACGGUAGCCAAUACCGCAUAAUGUCGCAAGACCAAAGAGGGGGACCUUCGGGCCUCUUGCCAUCGGAUGUGCCCAGAUGGGAUUAGCUAGUAGGUGGGGUAAAGGCUCACCUAGGCGACGAUCACUAGCUGGUCUGAGAGGAUGACCAGCCACACUGGAACUGAGACACGGUCCAGACUCCUACGGGAGGCAGCAGUGGGGAAUAUUGCACAAUGGGCGCAAGCCUGAUGCAGCCAUGCCGCGUGUAUGAAGAAGGCCUUCGGGUUGUAAAGUACUUUCAGCGGGGAGGAAGGGAGUAAAGUUAAUACCUUUGCUCAUUGACGUUACCCGCAGAAGAAGCACCGGCUAACUCCGUGCCAGCAGCCGCGGUAAUACGGAGGGUGCAAGCGUUAAUCGGAAUUACUGGGCGUAAAGCGCACGCAGGCGGUUUGUUAAGUCAGAUGUGAAAUCCCCGGGCUCAACCUGGGAACUGCAUCUGAUACUGGCAAGCUUGAGUCUCGUAGAGGGGGGUAGAAUUCCAGGUGUAGCGGUGAAAUGCGUAGAGAUCUGGAGGAAUACCGGUGGCGA
rnacentral:rRNA from 1 species